GCAGGCCAUGUGACUACAUGUUAUACCUCACAAUAAUGUCCAAAGUGCCAGUCAAGAGUGUAGCCCUUUGUGACUGAGUAGGAUGAGUUGUAGCUUCUACUGAAGUCUUUUAAGAGAGAGAUAUGCUUGGCUAGAAAUGAACCAAUCAGGAAAGAGAGGAAAAAAAGACACUAUGACUUUUCUAAGAGAAGUUUCCCUACCAGUAGCUUUCCUUCCUAAAUGAAAACUGGUUUUCUGGUGACUGACAGGUUGAAAAUGUAGAGCCUAAAGAAAGUGGAGCAAAAGCAGAGAGGUGGGAGCUGUCUCAAGGGUAGAGCUGCAGCUGGAGGGAUAUGCUACUUCACCUUUUCUAGUAAUGAAGGUUCUCCAAGAUUUUCAAACCAAGAAUUUGUCCGUUGUUCAUCCUUAAGCUAACAUCCAAGUCCAUAUAGAUCCUUAAAGUAAUACAGGUCCAGGUGGAGAAUUCUCUCAAAUGUCUGUCAUAAAGCAAAGACAGCAUAGAGGAGAUCCAUUUAGAUGCUAGGACUAUGGCCUACAGAAGAGCCCACUAACUCGUUCCCUCUUCAUGCUGGGUGAGGACCACUCUCUACACCUGUCUGGCAGAGAAGGGAAUGUGCUGUGAUCCAAUGACCACUCCAUGAUGCUUCUUGUUCUUUUCACUUAAAUUUUUUUUUUUACUUAGGCAUUGUAUUCUGUUAUAAAUGUGCUUCCUUAAAACAUUUUGAUGCUUGUGGAUAAAUAUACACUUUCCUCAUAUUUCCCUCCCUUAACUCCAGUCCCCAGCCACUGGUCGCUUUUCCUAUUUCUCAGCUACAAUCCUUACAAUCCUCCAUUAUUCAUUCUCUCUCUCUCUCUCUCUCUCUCUCUCUCUCUCUCCUUCUUUCUCUCUUUCUCUCUCUCUCUCUCUCUCUCUGUAUGUUUGUGUGUCUGUGUGCAUGUGUUUUGUGUCAUCUCACAUAUGUGAUAAAGCAUGAUAAUUUAUCUUUCUGAAUUUGUCAUCCUUUGUUUAACAUGAUGACAUUCAGGUUAAAUCCAUCUUCCCUUAAAAGACACAGUUUUAUUUUGUUUUAUUUUAUUGCUUGUAGCAGAAAAAGAUUCUGGUAUAUGCAUCUCCAAAAUUUUCUUUAUCCACAAGCCUAUCAGUGAACAUCUAGGUUGAAUCCAGAGCUGUUAUAAAUAGUAUGACAGGUGUGUUUAUGCAAGUGUCUUUGUAGUUAACGUUAGACAUAUUCCUAGAAGUGAUGUGAGUUGUUGAAACUUUUAAUCCCAAUUCAGGGUUUCUACCAUACCUUUGACCAUUUAGCUCCAAGAGAAAAGAUACAUACAA
rnacentral:lncRNA from 1 species